GGGGCAGUAUGGCUCAGGAGGUAGAGCGGGCGGGCUAGAAAUCAGAAAGUUCCUGGUUCGAUUCCCGGCUUCUCUA